UGUAAGUCAAUGGGGACGGAUCCGUCCAUCAUUGACUUUCAAAGGUGGUCAAGAAAGGGAUCUGUCUUGGCUAUGUGAAAGAUAAUACAAACUGAUCCGUCCAUGACGGAUCCGCACAACACGCGAGUGUUAAAGUAGCCUUACCGCUUCCUAGGCCAUUGGCGCAGCUCAGUCCUAUUGAAGUGAAUGGGAUUGAGCUGCAAUACCAAGCACAGCCACUAUACAAUGUAUGGCACUCAAAGUGCUGAGCAGCGGGAUGCCGAAAGUUGGACCCCCACUCGAAUGGGACUGAGCUGUGCCUAGGCCACAUGACCAAUGAACCUGACGUCAGUGGCCUAGGAAGAGGUCGUGGCGGUCACUGGAGCGCCGUGGCCUCUUCCAACAGCUGAUCGGUGGGGGUGCCGUGAGUUGGACCGCCGCCAGCCUCAUUUUGAUGACCUAUUCUGGGGACAGGCCAUCAAUAUCCAGGCAACCCCUUUUAGCAUGAGCGCACAUCUUUUGGUAUACUCUAUCAUAAAAGUAUUGGUUUUAUUUUCUGGAGGUAGGUAAGAAUGAUUUCAAUCGCUGCCAGCAAGCAGAGAUCUUAAAAAUUUGUAUUAGAAAGUGGCAUAACUUCUUAAACUUAAAACCCUAAUUCAAGGUAUGCCUGUGGCCAGAAGAAGAGAUGCAACUUUCCGUUCCCGUUACCAAUUUCCGCUAGAAUGACGACCAUCUAAUGUGUAUGGAGGUCUCCCGGCUUUCCCCGGAUAAGAAUCGGCAGUUGAAGAUGCUUCUGUUCUUGGCGAGGUAUGAGAGAGGUUUCUGGCAGCAGCUUUCUCCCUACUCCCUGUCCAGAACACAUGCAUCCUCGGUCAAGCCAUUUAAGUGGGGUUUUGGAGAUAGCUGGCCGACGUUCGGCCUACAGCGGUCUAAUACGUAUGGUCGGCCUAAACUGUGGGCAACCACAGACCGUUAGAAGCAGGUGGUCCAAGCAGAAGAAGCUUCCAGCCUAAAGAACUGGACCAGCUGCCUCUCUUCCCGGGAUAUGGCCGACCUCUUAGCUGGAACCUCCCUUUAAUUCAGCUUUUAAGAGAAGAUCCCGUGGGCCGUGGCCAUCUGGAAUGUGGUAACCCUAAACAAAAUCCAGUCAACAGUUACCGGUUAUGUGCUUGCUUCAAAUAACUUUAUUUACAUCUACAAAAGGCCGGAGAGCCCCUUUAACAGAACAAAUCUUCAUCUUGUCCCCUCCCGAAUGACGUCCCAGAACAGCUGCUUCCACUGUGGGUAGGUGGCAGGAAAUCUGAAAAUCUUCCAUUUAUUAAGAAACAAGCAGGGUAUGUCUAUCACAGACCCGUUCUUCAUUGCCGGUCUAUAUGCGUGGCAUAUUAAGCUUUGCACUGAGUCUCUAAAAAAAAAAAAAAAAUUUAUUAAAAAAUUGAUUCCUGCGACUUUGUCAUUGUGAUCAGGAGAUUCUCCGUACGGGAUCACUGACUCAUAUUGGACCUCAAAAAGGGAUCGCCAAAAGCAAUGCAACAACCUGCACCUUCUACUAAAUUCGUAUUUUUUAGUGGAAACCUCAUCCUAUUUAUUCUGCCAGAUUUUAUUUUACUGUAAAUAUACAAAAAAUAAUAAAAAAUUAAAAACAUAUUUUUUUUCCCUUUAAGGGUGUACACAGAGAGUAAGACGCAUUAAGAUAAAGGGGGCUUAAUAAAAUGCAGCAAUUUAAAGGAGUUCUCUAGGACAUUACAAGAAAAAGGGGGGAUUAUGUUAGGCCGGAGAGCCCUUUUAACAUAAUCGUCAUUCAGCUUCAGUAUCCGAUCCAGGGCCUCAGUGCUCCCGCCAAUCAGCUGUUGGAAGAGCGCCAUACAUUGCACAGUGGCUAUGCAUGGUGUUGCAGCUACAGAAAGGCUAUGUGACAUCACCCAGGUCGAGGAAGAGGUCGCAGCACUCGUCCGCCUGCCGAGGCUCCUUCCCACAGCUGACUUGCGGGGUUACCAGGAUUUGGACUCCCAGUGACCUGAUGCUGAUGACCUAUCCUGUAGAUAGGUAAUAUUUAGAGGGGUAGUCUCACUUCCAACAUUGGUGUCAAUAUACAAAAUAUUAGUUAAAAUAGUUAUUUCUGUCAUCGACAAAAAAAAAAGCCUUUUGUAACAUUUUCAGAUGUGAAAUUCACAAAGUGGUAUCUAACGAAAAGACUUUGAGGCGUGCAGAGAAUAUCCUAUGCAACAGAAUUUCCAUCUAUACACUCAAACUGAUGAGACUAUGGCUUAAAUGAGUGUUUGAGGUCAGGAGAUCAGAGAUAAGGCCUCACAUGAGCCGUCAGCUGACGGAACUCAGGAGGGACAGUCUGCAAAUAGACUGAUUUUUUAACCCCCAUGUAUCACAAAAAUUGCCCGAAGGUGUUCACAGCCUUUAAACCUGACUGAGGAAAACCACAUACAUUUGUCCAACUAUUUGGAAAUGUUACAAAAUGCUAAUUUUUUUAAAGAUUUUUUAAAAAUUCUUUUGAAAGACUAAUUCUAGAUGUUCAGCCUCUCCAUGAAUCGUAUAAUGCUAUUGAGAAGCCAUGUUGUCUAUCAGAAAUAGGAACGUUUCUGUGACCUAGUGAUUGCACUUUACAGGCGGUGAUGGGGUUGUCACCAGUUUCUCCCAGUAUAUUUAGUUAUUAGGGUAGUUUGAUGGACAGUGACUCGGUGAGGAUGGGGGGAAUGGAUAGAAGGAGGAAAAAUAGGAAAUUUCAAGGCUGAAAACCCUCGGUAUCCCAUAAUGCUUCUGUAGCACCCAAUGAAUCUCCUAAUCCAAAGACCAUUUUUAAAGGGACCUGCUGCUGGCUCCACCCAGCUGUAAUUUGUGGGAGAGCCCAUCAGGUGAUUAAAGCUGGACAACCCCUUUAAGGCUCAUGAAUGAUGGCGACAUAAGUCCUAUGUCUGUGCUACUAGACCAUUUGUAUCAGACUAUUGGUAAGAAUGUUUAUCUGACUUUUUUGGGGUCAGUAGUCAUUGGGUUCCAUAGAUUUAUUAGCCAAGAAUCUGCACGUGGGGCACAUUUAUAUGUGGCUCUUGAUAAUGUAGAAAAUAUCAGAAUGCUUUAAAUGGAGGUUAAAAAUCUUUAAAGGGGUUGUCCAGCAUUAGAAAAACAUGGCUGCUUUCUUUAAAAAACCAGCACCACCCCAAUCCAUGGUUUGGCAUUGAAGCUCCGCUCUGAAUUAAGGGGGGCAGAGCUGCAAUACCGCACAGAUCCUGGACAGGGGUGUUGCUGUGUUUUUAUUUUUUGAAGAAAGCAGCCAUGUUUUUUUAAUCCAAUCCUGGACACAGCCCCUUUAAAUUUAAGUCCAGCUUUAGUCGGAGAAGGACAUUUUUUUACCUCCCGCGGGCAAUCAACACAUUCAACAUUAGGUGUCGUCGUCCCCCCGUAUGGCACCUAUAAGGGCCUCGAGUAUAAACACCCUACAACUAUCCCUUUUUUUUCGGACUACCUUGUUGGCCGCUUUCAUAAAAUUAGCGAUCAACUCCUACUAUUAAACAUUUCCAUUAAAACUGCAUCAUUUAAAGAAGUAUUCCAGUUUUAAUGAUUACAUUUAUUUGUUUAGACAAUAGGCAUUUAUACAGUUUUCUAAUAUACACGUGUCGGAAAUCUUGCGCGCAGACCCUUAUUAUAUUCGCACAGAUAAUGGAGUGCCCUCCAGUCGUAUACACAGAUACACAGUUUAUAUUCGCACAAUAGCCUCUCUCCCAAGAAUAAAAAUAGUACAGCCCAUUUUAGUCCUGCAAAAUGCAUCCAUAGGAGAUCUGAAUAGGACUAAAGAUGGCGUCAGUCAUGUGACCCGCAAUCCUGUCAUGUGACCUGGCCUUCAGAUUACUGUCUAGAUAUCAGAUGACAGUUGAAUAGUAGUUUAUUUAGAUACAACAGAUAUGUAUACCAGUAUAUAAUUAACUCGGUGUAUAAUUAGCUUUAUUAACAUGACAACAUCACCUAGAGACAGGCAGCCAUUUUACAUAUCACCUAGAAACAGGCAGCCAUGUCAGUGGAUUGUCACAUGACUGAUGCCAUGGAUGCAUUACACAGGACCGACUGAUUCUUGGGCUAUACUAUUUUACUGUGCAGAUAGGCAACCCAACAUAAGAAAGGUAUGUCGGCAAAAUUUUAAAUACCUAUAUAUUAAAAAAAAUCGGAUCAUUUCCUAUUCUAUAAACCAAUAAAAACUGGAAUAACCCCAUUUUAUUAGCAUUAAACAUCUUGGUACCAUGACCACAAUAAUUCAUCCAAGAAGCUGGGAGCUCAUCACUUGAGCAUUGACAAUGCAUUUUUUUAAAUAUCACUAUAAUUCUCAGGGUGUCCUGUAGGCGGUGCCUUUUUUUUCUCUCUCUCUUCUGGAAUCCCUCUGCAGAGAUUCUACUAAAAAAAAU